AUGUGCAAAUUUGGUCCUAGCCAAUCAGACGACGACAAGUGGAGCCAAGUCAGCACAGCCCACUCCAUCCGGUCAGCGCCGCACUUUUUGCGAUUACCCCCCGGCCUUUUUGCAGUCCCUCCACCGGAUACGAGCACGAGUUCCGCUUCCAUCACAGGAGGUCGAGCACAGGAGGUGGCGGUGGAACGGGAGUUCUCCUUCCCUCCGCUCGAGGCGCCGCCGAAAGUUGUCGACGCGGCGGAGGUUCUUGGCCAGUUCGCCGCCCAGUUCUUGGAGGCGACGAUGGGCGCCACCGCAGGCCCCAGGACGGAGAAGAUCAAGAAGGAGCUCCUUCUCGGCCGGAAGGUGGUCGACCUGGUGGGGCUAGAGAGGUGGCUACGAAAAAUGGAGGCGGUCGCCGAGCUCGCCUGGUUCACGGACCUGUGCUCCCACGAGGAGAAAGAGGUGCCCCCGCUCGAGCUCUUCGAGUGCGCAUUCCGGGCUCUUGAGGCCGCCCGGUCCGAUGAACUCCACCGUUGCACCGCCGAUGCCAGGAGGUUAUGGAUUGGUCCAGUGGCCGUGCCGGAGUUCUUCUUGUGCCCUUUCUCCAAGAAGUUCAUGGAGAAACCAGUCGUCAUCACCUCUGGAAAGAUUAUUGUGUCAGGGUCAAUAGAGAUCCUUAAAUUUUGCUUACUCUCCAAGUCUCUCUUGAGUCUGUUUCUGAAGAAUUCUGAGUUUGCCCUUUGGAUCAUAGGAUCUCACUGA
rnacentral:rRNA from 1 species